CCCGCGUCGUUACGCAUAUGGUCUGCGCUGCGGAUGGAUGGUAACCCUAAUCCAUUGGCUUAGCCCGUGAUUUACCCAGGGCUCUGCCCCAGCAGCCGCCUCCCUCGCCCCCAUCCAUGACCUCUCUCUCUCUCUGCUCUCACCUGACCUAGAACAGAUCUGGCACGCGCUCUCCUCCCCUGCCAUGUCCUCCCCGUCACGAUCCUUCUUCGUCUGCCGGCGGGCGCGCCGCCCAGCCGGGGCUUCCUUCUCGCCUCCGGAGCCUCGAGAGCCGCUCCGUCUCUCCUCCAGGCGCACCUUCCCGGCCGUGGACACACGCUUCCGUCCGUCGAUAGUUUACCAUGGCGCGCGCUUGUCGUCGGCCGGCCAAGAAUCUACAUGGCAGGUCGCUCUCGUCUCCAUGGUGCCCGGCCGGCGCUCGCGGCGGCCCCUCUCGUCGUCGGCCGAGGGCGACUCUGGCCGACUGCCACAAGUGCAUGGCUGGCAUGGUUUACUAUCAUCCAGCGCCGUCUAGAUCUGUGAACUUGCAUGGGAUUUUCCUGGCGAUUCAGAGUUCACACAUCGGUGGAUCCAUGACGCUGUGCACAACGGGUUCAUUAGUUGUAUCCACAUCCACCGGUUCAAGUUUAAUUCAUCUUUGAAUUAACAACCUUUGUGGCUCCAUUGAUUCAUAGGACUAAAAAGUCAACUCUUAUUGGAUUUUGCCAAACGAUAGUGCCUUGACCCACUCCCUAUGUUCCCUGGCCAUGUGCACACGCCUCCUUUGAAACUACCAUAUCUCGCACCGGUGGCAGAUUGACGGGCUGAUCCUCUAUUUCCAUGGUGGAGGUAAGCUUAAAUAACAUCUUGUCUCCGGAGCCUUGACCUACUCCGUCUGUUCUUUGUGCGCCAUAGAUGUACCUGCAUAGGGUUAAUAUAUGAACGUCAAGCGACGGCGGCAAGAGUUUACAUGGUAGGCAACCGUAGGCACCGUGUAAGCCUGUGAAUUUGAAUGGGAUUUUCUUAGCUAUGCAGAGUUGUCACAUCUUACCAUCCAACCAUGAUGCUCAGCAUAACAGCUUAAUUAGUCUUAUGCCGAUCUACAGUUCGACGACUUCACCUGUGAUGUGGAUGCCUUUAAGUACUCAUUCCCCGAUCUCGUUGGCCUCCUUGGCAAACAUGAUGAUGAUGAUGGAGAGCUCACUUGGCUCCAUGCCAGCUACCACCGUAUAGCCCGCCUGAUAAUUCUGCUGGAGUCGCUUCCAUCCACCCCCAAAAAUGAAGAAAAAUUCAAAGCCCUGAGGAACCAUAUUUAUCAGAUGUUGGAGGGGUGCGCCUCCGUUUUCUGCCGUCCCAAGUGCAUGCCGAUACCUUCAGCCAUUAGAGACUGGGCGAUAACAGACAUUCGGAGGCUUGAAGCCAAGGUUGAUCAGAUGUUUGAGCAGGGAGCUGAUGGCUAUGCGACGGGGUGUGUUGACAGGGAGAUCAGUGACAUCAAGAAGCUCAUCUACAACACCAAGGACUAUUUCUUCCGCUAGUAUUGUUUUUGGGCACUCCUUUUGCCUUGUUAAUUAUUCUGAAUGGGAGCAAAAUUCUGUCCAGUAUGUUUCCUGGAUAUUUGCGUAUGGUUCUUACUACAUGCUACAUUCUGGAUGAUGAUAAGCAUACUUGGAUUAUGUGUCUAUGAUGCACUUGAAGCAGACAAGUGGCAGUUAGAUGAUUGCUAGUGGUCCCCUGUGGUAUAGCCAUCUGUUUUGUGUUAUAAUUCACCAUUGCCUGCCUUUCGUUGGGUUUAGAAUGUCUUAUCAUCCACUUGUAAAAUGGUGUUUGGAUAUCUAUGGCAUGGAAUGAUUUAGAGGCUUG
rnacentral:rRNA from 1 species